rnacentral:rRNA from 1 species
AUGGCCCUUAUGUCCAGGGCUACACACGUGCUACAAUGGCCGGUACAAAGGGGACGCAAGACCGCGAGGUGGAGCAAAUCCCAAAAAGCCGAUCGUAGUCCGGAUUGUUCUCUGCAACUCGAAAGCAUGAAGUCGGAAUCGCUAGUAAUCGCGGAUCAGCAUGUCGCGGUGAAUACGUUCCCGGGUCUU